AGUGAGGACCACCGACGUCAACGUUGCAGUGGAUCUUGUCAGAAUGAUGGAGAAUGUGAAGCUUUUAAUAGAUGACACUGAUGAUGAAAACAAGGAGGACUUUGCGGAACAUUCCCAGAUGACUUCGACUAACAAUCAAAGAAACUAUCAGAGUAUUCAUCAGAACCUGUUCAAGCUGGUAUGGAAAGAUCUGGCUGUAUGAGAUGUUUUCCAAGCAGCAGUUAAAAGCUCCGGUAUACGCUACUCCAUGGUGAAUCUCAGAGAUUUUCUGGAUAAUCGGGUUUAUUUACACACAACAAGUCAUGAAAUUACACGAAGCAGAAACCUAAGCCAGAGAAGCGCCC